UUAUUGUCUCCAAAAAUUUUCUAAGUAACAAAAUAAUAAUGAUAAAAAAAUAAUGAAAAGAAAGAAUUAGAAGAGACAUAGAUUGAUUAGGUUAAAUUACUCGUGAAACACUUUCUCUACUCUCUUCUUUUUAUUUCUUCUUCUCCGACUUGAGUUUUCCGGCGAUGUGAGACGAGAAGCCGACAAUUGUGAUGGCCGAUCAUGAAAGAGAUAGAGAGCUUUUGAUUCCGGUCUCCUAACGCUUCAUCUCUUCUUCUUCUCGCCGCCUUCGACUUCAAACCUCGAAACCCCAGAAUCUGAUUUUUUUUCUUUAGAUCUGGUCGUUGCUAAAUCUCCAAAACGAAAAUAAUUGAGAAAGACGUGGUGAGAGAUGUUUUUGAUUCUCGAAUCUCCUCUGUCCGUUUCGUCUCUGUUGUUGUUUCCGAGAUCUGUCGCCAUCUUCACAUCUUUGCUAGUGAAUCUCACUCUAUUCUGAAUUCUUCUUAGUGUUUGAGAUUUCAAUUUAGAUAUUUCAACUAUAUGUCAUAAUUUAUUUUUCUGCAUUUGUUAUUCUUAUCAGAUCCUUAUGGUGUGGGAUUAAGGUUUUCGGAUUUGGUACAAUCUUCAUCCUCUCAUGUAUUUAGAAGCGAAGCCGAGAAGCACCUCAAACCAGAAGUUGUUGUCGUUGUUUCCAAGAAGAUUUUCUCUAAAAAAUAGGAAUUUGCUCAAAUUCUAAAGAAGAAUGAAGAUUUUUGGAGACAAAGGAACUGGAAGAGAAAUUCUAAGAGCUAUUGACUACAACUUAAGCGAUGAAGACGAAUAGAGUCUAAAGAGGGUUUGGGAGAGAAGAGAAGGGUCUGGGUACAUUAACGUAAUCAGUAUCUUGUCUUCUUAAACUGUAAUUUGACAACUUAAUUGAAUUGUAUAUAUUAUUAUCGUUAGAGAAUUGUUUUUGUUAAUUAUUAUUAUCACAAA